rnacentral:lncRNA from 1 species
CCAGUGGCCAUCCCUGUGGCCAGGCAGUGAUCCCUCCUCUGUGCCAGGAUCGGAACGUGCUCAGUCCUGCUGUGCUCACCCGUGGCCCUUCUUUCCCAGUCCCUUUUCCCUCUAGGUGGAGUCAUUACACAUCAGAUUUCAGCUUCUUCCGUGCCUGGAGCUGCUCCUGCAGCCGUGCAGACAGUGAGAGAUCCCUGCCUGCGCCUGAGUGCUUCCCUGGAAUGUAGUGACCUGGAUUUAAUGAAGCCCAGCGUACCUCGGAGAGCUUACUGGUGUUGCAUGCUUGGGAUGGGAAAGCCCAUCAGCAGGGGAGGAUCCAGGUUUGCAUCCCGAGGGAUCACAGACCUUUGGCCUGGGAAAAGUCCCCGUUUGCAUGCUGGAGUUAUGAAAACCAGACGGGAGAGCUUAAGGGAAACCAAAGGAGCAGUUCCUGGGGGGAGACUGAAGCCUGAAAUAUGUGGAACAGCUGGAGGGAUGCAGGGGAUUUCAAAGGGAAGGCUGGGAUGCCGAUGGAAACGGGAGCAGGGUAAGCACUGCACUGGUGCUUACGGGGAGAGCUGGGAGCAGGGGGGGCACUUUAUUUGUUUCAGAUCUAUAACAUCCAGCAGAUAUUUAUGGAUCUUUUAUCUGUUUAGUGCCUCAGGGCUGCAAAUCAAAGCACCCGGGGCUCUUGUGAGACUGAAAGCAAACAAAUAAAAUCCCCACUGGUCUCCAGAAAGGUUUGGAGUGCGGUCACUGACCCGCCCGGAUUUAAUGAGACCCAUUAAAGCACUCCUGAUGCUGUCACUCCGGAGAGCUUCGGAUCCUCACCAUCCCUUCCUGCAUCGGAGAUGAGGGAUAAUACACCUGGGAAAUGAGGCCAGACAGAGCCAGGCACAUCCACAUCCGUGUGUGGUUGCAGCUCUGCGCUGGAUCCUGGCUCUGGCGACACCAGGUCUGGCUUUCCUGCAUCCCUGAUCAAUUCCAGGAAAAUCCCUGCUGGUCCUGAGCACCCUCAGAGGGUCCCUCUGUGGGGCGGGUGCUGCUGAUCCCAGCCCUGGGAUGCUCAACCCCACGGGGGGCUUGGAGAGGUCGGACAAAGCAGGGCAAGGUCGGGUGAAGCUCUCGCCGGGAAUUUGGGAGAUGUCCUUGCUCCCAGCCAGGCAGUGCUGUUGGCCACCCAGGAGCCCCUUCCCGGCCUGACGGCUGGAAAAGCUCCAGUGUGCAGUGACUCAUCCGCCUUGUGUUUACUACAGAAUAAUUUCAGGAGCUUUUUUCAGCCCCUGCCCACCACAGGAAAGCCCCUGGGGCGGCCAUCCCAGGGCGGGAGGGCUUUUGGAAACCCGCGUGUUUUGGUGGAGGGAAUAACCCAGCUCCCUUUGGAGAGCUUGUGUCAGAAAAUCGCAGUCAUGGAAUGUUUUGGGUUGGUAAGGACCUUAGACAUCAUCUCCUUCCCACCCCCUGCCAAGGGCAGGGACACCUUCCACUAUCCCAGGUUGUUCCAAGCCCCGUCCAUGUAACCUUGAAAAUUUCCAAGGAUGGGCAGUGAUUGCCCUCCCCACAAACCAGCAGCUUCCCCAAAUGUCCCUUUUCCAUCAAUUCCUGUCAGCAGGAUGUCUCCAUACCCACCUCUCACCCCCUCCCUGCUGCAGGGGACAGCCCUGCUGGGGAGAUGUUUCUUUUAUUGUUGCUUUUAAAAAAUAUCUGUGCGUCUUCAAACCUCUCCCGCAUCUGAAACUCCGCCGAUCCCUCUCCAAACCCGCUCCGGGACUCGCCCAUCUGCAAGGUAUUAAAUUACUUGGGGCUUAAAACGCUGUAGGAAUCCCAGCCGACCCCCCAGGCCAUGCCUGGCUCACACAGGCAUCCCAAUCCCCUGCUGCAUGUUCAGCCUGGCAGCCGGUUUGCAUCAGAACCUUGCCAAAAAGUGAUUUAUUUUUUCCUUUUCCCCUCCUCAAGGUCCUGGAGCGGGGUCAGCAAGGGAGGAGCAUCAUCCCCCUGUCCCUGCUGCUGUUGGAGAGCUGGAGGUGUCCCAUUUUCAGGCAUCUCUGCCACUUUUUUUGUUAAAUGGAGAUUGGGACAGCCCUGUUGGCUUUGAAUCUCCCUCCCCAUCAUGUCCUUACUACUGGAAGUUGGAAAUAAUUCCUCUUUCCCAAGCACAGCGACGGGUUUGUGGAUGCCAGGCAGUCACAGCUUUUCCUCCCUG